UACGAAGGGGGCUAGCGUUGUUCGGAGUUACUGGGCGUAAAGGGCGCGUAGGCGGCCCUCCAAGUCGGGCGUGAAAGCCCACGGCUCAACCGUGGAAUUGCGCUCGAGACUGAAGGGCUCGAGGACGGGAGAGGAUGGUGGAAUUCCCAGUGUAGAGGUGAAAUUCGUAGAUAUUGGGAAGAACACCGGUGGCGAAGGCGGGUCUCUGGGCCGAUACUGACGCUGAGGAGCGAAAGCGUGGGGAGCGAACAGG
rnacentral:rRNA from 1 species